GAUGCUAAUACCGGAUAACAACAGAUGAUGCCUAUCAACUGUUUAAAAGAUGGUUCUGCUAUCACUCUUGGAUGGACCUGCGGUGCAUUAGCUAGUUGGUAGGGUAACGGCCUACCAAGGCGAUGAUGCAUAGCCGAGUUGAGAGACUGAUCGGCCACAUUGGGACUGAGACACGGCCCAAACUACCUACGGGAGGCAGCAGUC
rnacentral:rRNA from 1 species